CUGCUGCCUCCCGUAGGAGUCUGGGCCGUGUCUCAGUCCCAAUGUGGCCGUCCGCCCUCUCAGGCCGGCUACUGAUCGUCGCCUUGGUGGGCCGUUACCCCGCCAACUGGCUAAUCAGACGCGGAUCCAUCGUAUACCGCCGGAGCUUUUCACACUGUCCCAUGCGGGACCGUGCGCUUAUGCGGUAUUAGCACCUGUUUCCAGGUGUUAUCCCCCUGUAUACGGCAGGUUAUCCACGCGUUACUCACCCGUCCGCCA
rnacentral:rRNA from 1 species